AAAUACACAAAGGAGAAUGAUCCAGGGAGUUCCCGGUGUGGCUCAGUUGGUUACAAACCCAACUGGUGUUCAUGAAGACACAGGUUUGAUCCCUGGCCUCGCCUAGUGGGUUAAAGGAUCUGGUGUUGCAGUGAGCUGUGGUGUAGCCCAGCAGCUGCAGGUUCAAUUCGACCCCUGGCCUGAGAACUUCCAUAUGCCACAGGUUUGGCCCUAAGAAGCAUCCAAACAAAAAAAGAGAGAAAGAAGGAGACUGGGGCGGGGACGAGGGUGUGACAAAAAAUAAAUGGAACUAACCAUGUAAUAAUUUAACUUUUUCCAUCAUUCGGACUAAUGGCAGUAAAAAUGGCAAAAUACCUACAUUUGUUCAUUGCAAAUGCAGGGUAUUUUUUUUUUCAUUAUUCUGUGUAUUUCUCCACUUAAAAAGCAUGUUUCAUAACUGCAAAAUCUUUAAACUGGAUAAGUAAAAUACGAUCUCAGGGUUCGUCUUCAUUGAGUUGUAUGUUGCUCCCUCGCCUUUUCUAAAGCCGGCCCCCUUUUCCUGACAACAAAAAGAAUGACACAAUAGUAGGCCUCAUCUGAAUGAAACAUUUGUCCCCCUGCUUUUGCCAGAUUCUGGUUAUAUAUACUGGGAUUUUUUUUUCUUCUUUUUAUGGCCACAUUUGUGGUGUUGAAUCAGAGCUGCAGCUGCAGCUGCAGCCUAUGCCACCGUCAUGGCAGCACCAGAUCUGAGCCACAUCUGGGAACUACUCCCCAGAUCCUUAACCCACUGAGCGAGGCCAAGGAUGGAACCCUCAUCCUCACAGAGACAGUCUCCUGUCCUUAACCUGCUGAGCCACAACGGGAACUCCCGCUGCGGUUUUUUUUUUUUUUUUUUUUNNNNNNNNNNNNNNNNNNNNNNNNNNNNNNNNNNNNNNNNNNNNNNNNNNNNNNNNNNNNNNNNNNNNNNNNNNGGGCGGAGGGUGGUGGCCCGGCCAGACCCUCUUCCACUACUUCCUUUCCGGUGGGUUCUCCAGGGACCCCUUGAUCCCUGAUUCCACACCCCAAUGGAAGGUACACUCUACUUUCCUCUGCCACCAGAACUUCCAUCUGAUCCAAGGAGAUUCUGGGACUGGAAUCCCCAGUGCCUCCAACAAGCCAAUGUCAUUUACAGCAAGGAAAUUUUUUUUACCGUGCCUGCGUCAUGAAAUUCUCAGGGAGUUCCCGCGUGGUUCAGCAGUAACGAAUCUGACUAAGCGCCAUGAGGAUGUGGGUUCAAUCCCUGGCCCCGCUCAUUGGGUUAAGGAUCUGGCAUUGCUGUGAACUGUGGUGUAGGUCAGAGAUGCGGCUCAGAUCCUGUGCCAGUGGCUGUGGUGUAGACCUGCAGCUGUAGAUCCAAUUUGACUCCUAGCCUGGGAACUUCCAUAUGGCGCAGGUGCGGACCUAGAAAGAAAGAAAGAGAGAAAGAGAGAAAGAGAGAGAGGAAGAGAAAGCGAGAAAGAAAGAAAAGAAAGAGAGAAAUUCUCAUACCAGGGAUCAAACCCGAGACACAGCAGUGACAACAUACAACCAGGCAAUUGCUUUUUUAGCCCACUUUGAUCCCAACAAUAAUAACAAAAAUGCUGCUUCUCAUUCCAGAGAAUAAUGCUUUUUUUUUUUUAAUGCCAGCUCCUGAGCUGCCGCUGCCCACCUACACCACAGCCAUAGCCACACUAGAUCCUUAACCCACUAAGCAAGGCCAAGGAUCGAACCCUCACCCUCAUGGAUACUUUGUCAGGUCCUUAACCCACUGAGCUGCAAUGGGAGCUCCAAAGAACACUUUAUUUCAUGCCUUUUCAAAGUCGAAGGGAGAGAAUGAACUGAUUUGUUUUGAAACAUUUCUUGCUUUCUGGUGGGAUGAGAAAAAAAGCAACCGUUCAUCGUGUUAACAUAAAUUAGCAUCACCGGGCUGGCCUAAAAUUACAUGUAGAUGUUUGAAAGUGAAAUACGUGUUGGACAAUUAGCAUUGGAAAUGGCUCAUCUCGGGAUAAUUAUUCUCGGGUGUCUGAAUUGGCGGUGUUCACAGGCCUUACCGGCUCCUACAUGGACACUGAUUUUAUUCCUUUCCUUUUUUUACUCCAGAAAAGAAUGGAAAGGCUUCAGAGGCGCACAUAGAGGACUAUGGCUGAAGGUGGAACAGAAAAGUGGUUUGCAACAACGUCUUCUUGAGGAUCGUCCUUGUGGGCAACCCAGGCAGCAGGAAAAGCGCCACUGGGAACAGCAUCCCCUGCCAACCUGUGUUCAAGUCCAGGCUGGGGACCCAGCCUGUGACCAGGACGUGUCAGGGGGCAACAGGCAUGUGGCAGGAGAGGAGCAUCCUGGUGGUGGACACGCCCUCCAUCCUUGAGGCCAAGGCCCAGGACCAGGAGAUGUACGAGGACAUUGGGGACUGCUACCUGCUCUCAGCCCCAGGGAGAGGUCGCAGGCACCACCUGGCCAAGAUGCUGUCGCAUAUUGAAAAGCAAAAGCAAGAUCUGCAAGAAGCCCAGAGAAACUGUGCACUCCAUGGGCUCCUCCGGGUCAAAAACUGGAUUGUUUCUCACAUCUGAAUAUGUGCUGUUCUUGUUGUUUGCAUCUUGAUUUUUCUUGCUAUUUUAAUGAGCUUGUAUAUCAUUCAGGAAUGCCGAGCCUUUUCAGAUGCUAGCUGCCACUGGCUAUUUUUUCAGAGUUAGCAUUUCUCGUGUUGAGAAGAAACUUAAUUUGCUUUUUCCAGAAAUUCACUUUCAGUUUCCCCACUUGCAUCAGACACACCAUCUAUUUUCUUUAGGUACUUUUAGGUAAAUACAAUGCAAAGGAAACAAACAAAAAAAAGUGUUCCCCUUUGUGAUUUUUUAAAAAUUGUGAGGGUAAAUAAUUAACUGGAUCUUGUCACAAAAUAUUUGGGAGCUUAUAGGAAGGAAAGUGAGUGGACUGAUGCCUGAGUCUCUGGCCUCCGGGACCCACUUUUUCCAGUCAUGCUGUUGUGGAGAGAGACGUGUUAUAUUAAAAGCUGGUAGUGGAAUUCCUCGUUUCAUUCAGAAAAGUACCCUGACUUCUUUGUAGGUUGUAAUAAACAAGCAACACCCCACAAGAGAGAAAGCCAAGGAGGUGGGGAGUUGGGGUGUCUCGGAUAUGGAAAGGCUGGAAAGAAAGGAGGGAGAAGGAGGUGGGGGGAAGGAGACAGGAGGUCUCCACGGCCGGACCAGGACCCAGGCCUGAAGGGAGUCGGUGGCUGGGAAAUUCAGGAACUUGGGCUGGCAAGGGACAGACGAUGAGCGCAGUAUUUUAGGCAUAGAGACUCUACAGGCUCCACCACAACCGUUCACCUCUCCCCUCCUCGUGCAAAAGCCGCCGUGGACAAGACGGAAGUGGCGUGCAAGGCUCUGUUCCCAUUCAGCUUUAGGCAUUUUGAAUUUCACGUACUUUCUUAUGUACCGAUGAAACAUUAUGCCUCUUUUGAUUUCUUCACCCUUUAAAAAAAU
rnacentral:lncRNA from 1 species